rnacentral:lncRNA from 1 species
UUUUUUGGUUCUGAAUUCAAACUGAUAAAGUAAAACCUGCACAUCUCAAUGAGAAAAAUUAUCUUAUUUUUUAAUUGUUGCACUUUGAAUAUUUAUGGAUUUAGGUAAUAUCUGCACUACUUUUUAUCUUCUUCAUUUUAAAACUACUUUUAUAACUGUGUGAACUAACACCGAAUUGUGUAUCCAUCCAACUGAGCAUCUGCUCUAAGAACAUACUUGUCAAAUUAAUCUCCUAAAUUCACUUCUAUUGCACCUCUAUCUUCCUUUCCUAUUCUUUUAGACACCUCUACACUAAUUUGAAAAAAUUCACACUCUCUUACAAAAUAUGCAAUUGCAAGCUUUUUGUGGUUGUUGUCAAAAGGUAUUCAGAGUUAAAAUCUAAAGUUGUGUGGUAUAUGAUUUCUUCAGGACCAAGGAGAAUGAUAAAAGCUGUCAUUCCCAGGUGUUCUGGAUGAUGAGGAUAUCAGGAAAACUUCCAUGUUGAGAAUUUGGCAUAGUGCCAAGAUGAAGGAAGCCAAGCUACAAAUUUUCCCACUUCCCUAAAAUCUCUCCUACCUCCAAAGACUGUAUGAAAAUAACAUCAAAAUGCACCAAAUGCUAUUAUAAGAAUUCCGAUGUCUAUUUCAGCCCAUCAAGGAAAUAGAAACACAUUAAGUAUGAACUUAGGGGGAGUUAUUAAGAUUAAUAUUCGAUCAUGGCUCAGUGGUUAACGAAUCCAACUAGGAACCAUGAGGUCGCAGGUUCAAUCCCUGGCCUCGCUCAGUGGGUUAGGAUCUGGUGUUGCCGUGAACUGUGGUGUAGGUCACAGAUGCAGCUCAGAUCUGGAGUUGCUGUGGCUCUGGCAUAGGCUGGCGGCUACAGCUCCAAUUAGUCCCCUAGCCUGGGACCCUCCAUAUGCCAUGGGUGCACCCCUAGAAAAGGCAAAAAAGACCAAAAAAAAAAAAAAAGAUUAAUAUUCACUUCUUGCUGGAUCUAAGAGGGCAGUCCAGGAGUCCACCAAGUCUGACAUUGAAAGAACCUCUCCAUCCAUGAUGCCAUCUGUUAUGAAGGCAGUCCAUCUUUAUGGCCUUUAGUUAGGCAGAUUAAAUUAAAGGGGUCCAGGAUCUAUAACUAUUUGGGGCUUUCAAGAUCCUCAUGGAAACUGGAGAAAGUUGGAGCCUUAGCAGGGAUCCUUCAUAAGUUCUGUGGGAGAAUUUAAUUUUUACUCCUAAGAAAGGGAAAUUGUCUCUGAUGAGCUUUAAAGUGAGGUAGCAUAAAACUUAAGAAAAUUAGAAUAGGAAACAUAAGAAUAGUUCUAUUUCAGAAUCCUGACACAAGGUUGAGGGUUAUAUAGAACAGGAUGUGUGAGAAAUAGUGUUUAUUUUUUAAACUAGUAAAAUACCUUGGAUUCUUCCCAUGUGGGCAGUGUAUGGGAUAGAAAUAGAAAGUAUUAUUGUAUUAUAAUAUUUUCAAGCGGUUUUGUCAUGUUUAUGCUACUGGGAAAUUUUAGUUAGCUGGAAAUCUGAGUUGAUUCUAUUCAUAGGUGGGGGAGGGAGGAGUAAAUGCAAAUGAAGUAUUAGUGUAUUAAAGUAUUUUUUUAUGUAUUUUUUUGUCUUCUGCCAACUGAAAGGCCCUCUGUGUCAGUGCCAGGAGGAGCCUGGUAAUGAUUAAUUGAUUUAGCUGUCAAACUAAGGCAGUGUGUAUAUAGGCAGGAGAAUAGUGUAAGGCACACAGGCCAUGUUUUUAUGGGGAAAUUUUCUUUGGAGUCCCUUGUAAUAAAGAAAGGGUCUGGGAGGGGAUGAAGAAGGAGAGAUAAAUGACUAUACAAAUGAGUCUGUCCACAAAGAUGUUUAUUAUUAACAGGGGCGGGGGCUAUUCAAGCUUCCAAAUAUCUCCUAAUCCUAUAUAUGUGGGCACAUAUCUCCUUUACCUUUUAAAGAUUACCUCUUAGCAAUUACUAGAAAACUUACAAUGUAUAAGUUUACUUUCUGAUGCUGUCCACUGAAUCUUUCUCUGCCCUAACUGUCUCAGGAGUUUGAGAAAGUUACUAAGUUUACUAUAUUCUGAGUUUUCUGAAAAUAGAAAUAAAAGCCAUCACAGAAGGAUGCUACGAAUAAGCACACAAGCAAUAAUCUGAUGUAAUAAUAAUAUGCAGUCAUACUAAAGUGGGGACUAUGUGAGAUUUUAAUUUCAACAUUGUGUGGAAGAAGAUCUUCAUAACAUAGUUCUAUUUCAAUCAAUCACCUCUCUACAGCACUUCAAGCUUGGAGUUGUUCAAUCUUCUUGAUCUAGUGGGCAUUUUCAGUGAUCAAAGACAGAUUUUGCUCUGUUUUUGUUCAGUUCCUUGAACUUAUUGAUGAUUGCUAACAAAACCAUGUUGAAAUAAUGAAUUUUCUUCCCCUAAAAAUAACCUUGUUAUUAAAAGUUGAAAUGCAAAGUGUGUGUCUACUUAUAUGCUGAAACUCCUGGACUUUUAAAAAGUACUGUUCUUAUUUAUUUUCUAGUGGCCAGGGUGGGAAAAGAGAAUGCAAAUAAAUCUUAAGUCUAAUGUUUUCUAAAGCUAUGGUCAUAAUCCAGGAGUCUUAACAGUUUAAAGAUAGGCAUUCAAAACAGUCAAAUCUUGACAGUGUUUUCAAACUUUUAAUCACAUAUGGAACUAGGUUGAGUUGCAAGUGUCUGUGUCCACAGAGAAGUUAGUUCAUCAUGCAUAUCUACUAGCAAUGGAGAGAGUGAUAUUGCUUGAAUUUAACCUUUUCUUUUAACGUACUGAUGGGCUGUGGAUCUAGAACCUUAUCAAGUACUCAAUCAUUGGAAACUUAAAGCAGAAAAUAUCUACUUCUUAUGUUUAAGUUUGUGAAAAAAACUCAAAGUCAUUAUUAUUUUAUAGCACCAUUAAGUCACUGUAUCUGAUUUAGUUUUUUCUGUACUAAAGAUACUACUGCCUUAAAAGAACAAAUUAAAUGCAAUAAUAAAAUUGGUAUACAGUGAGAAAUAAAGUGUAUAUGAAUAUCAGUAUGUGAGUGCAUGAAUUCUAGUAGCACUGCUAUAUGACUGUUUUAAAAUAAAGCUCUGUGGAUUUAGUCCUCAAGAAUUUUGCUAAUUUAAACUGUUAAGAUAAUUGUCAUAUCAUUAUAUUGUUUCCACUAAUGAACUUGGAUCUUAUCUACUCUAAUGGUUCAAUAGUUCACAUUUAUUCAGCAGUUACUUAUGCCAAACAUGUAAGCUUGGGUUAUUUAAGCCUCAUACCUGCACUCAGGAGUAGAUUUCAUGGGCUACAUAAAGAAAGUGAAGCUAAGAAAGAAUGUAGAAAUUUCCUAAAACCACAUGACAAGUUGCUGAACUGCAAUUAUAAAGCAAAUCCAUUUGACUUGGAAGUUCAUCCUAUACCAUGCCCUGUCCCACUCUUCUGCUAAGUCUACUUUUCUGUGAGUAAACAUAGAUGAAAGUUUUUCUGCCUGUGUCAUUCCAACUCUUUUCAUAGACAAUAGAAAUUACUAAAGAGUUUUACAUGUCUCUUCCAGGAGAUAGGCUUCAUUUACUGUUCUUUGCUUCAUAUGUUUCCUUUUUCUUUUCUAAUUUAUUUUUAGAGCUUUAUUACCAAUUUUGGAUUUAUGCUCUUGGUACUCUUUGAAUACUUAUUCACCAACUCUAUAACAUUCUUAUACAUGACUUUAAAAUGUGAUAAAAUCAAUAAACAAACAAAAACAAAACAAAAACUUUGGACAGUUAAAGUAUAUUAGAAACUAGGCUGGGAAGUUGGGAUAGAGGACUUACUAAAGUAAAGUCCAUAAAGUAACUAAGCCAAAAGGAGACAGGCAUGUAAACAAAUAAAUUAGAACACAGGUAAGAAAUACAAGGGUAGGAACAUGAGUAAGUUGUGGAUGAUGCUUUGAGAAUUGAUUAAUUUUUUGGAGGUGGAGGUAGAGGUGGAGGAACAAAAAAUUAGAAGAUGACACCUGAGUUGAGUUUUGAAAUAUGAAUAAGAGUUUAUCUGGUGGGGAAGUGAAGGCUUGAGAUGGUUAUGGGAGAAGGAAGGGAUUCUGGGCUGAAAGUAGAUUUAUCAUGGGUGAUCCAACUACCCAGAGCAUAAGUUUGAAUUAUAAUUUCUCAAGGAGAACUCUAAAAAAGCACCUCUCUCCAAAGCCAUCAUCCAAAAAAUGCCAAGGCCCGCUUACACACAUCCUUCAUGUCAGGAGCUCAAAAUACUGUAGUGGUGAUUUAAAUACAAUUUACACAAACACUAUCUAGGUGUAUGCUCUAUAAUUUUUCUGAAAACUUUAUUUGACCUUACAAUGCAUUUUUUGUUAUUUUGUAGACUUGUAUUCUUGGAUCUUCUUUUAUUAACAAGAACAAUCAUUAAUAGUAUUCUACAGAAAAGGAUCAUGAGAAACUGUAAAUAUUACUAUUUCUUUAAAAUUUAAGAAAUUAUUAUUUCAUUUUUAAUAAGAAAAGGUCCAAAGCAGAGUGUGAUUAUUCUCACCAUCAAAGAUUAAAGUUGAUGGAGUUCCCAUCAUGGCUCAGUGGUUAAUGAAUCCGACCAGGAACCAUGAGGUUGCAAUUCGAUCCCUGGCCUUGCUCAGUGGGUUAAGGAUCUGACGUUGCCAUGAGCUGUGGUUGCUGUGGCUCUGGCUUAGGCCAGUGGCUACAGCUCACAUUAGACCCCUAGCCUGGGAACCUCCAUAUGCCACAGGUACGGCCUUAGAAAAGACAAAAAGAC